rnacentral:rRNA from 1 species
GACGAACGCUGGCGGCGUGCUUAACACAUGCAAGUCGAACGGAAAGGCCCUGCUUUUGUGGGGUGCUCGAGUGGCGAACGGGUGAGUAACACGUGAGUAACCGGCCCUUGACUUUGGGAUAACUUCAGGAAACUGGGGCUAAGACCGGAUAGGAUCUCCUGCUGCAGGGUGGGGGUUGGAAAGUUUCGGCGGUUGGGGCUGGACUCGCGGCUUAUCGGCUUGUUGGUGGGGUAGUGGCUUACCAAGGCUUUGACGGGUAGCCGGCCUGAGAGGGUGACCGGCCACCUGGCGACUGCGGUACGGCCCAGACUCCUACGGGGGGCAACAGUGGGGAAUCUUGCACAGUGGGAGGAAGUCUGAUGAGGAAGCGCCGCGUGCGGGAUGACGGCCUUCGGGUUAUGAACCGCAUUCGCCUGUGACGAAGCGUGAGUGACGGUAAUGGGUAAAGAAGCACCGGCUAACUACGUG